GCAUCCGUAGCUCAAUUGGAUUAGAGCGCUUGUCUUCGGAACAAGAGGUUGGGAGUUCAACUCUCCCCGGGUGCG
rnacentral:tRNA from 1 species